AAACAAGAUCAGGAAAGUCCAACUCUAAAGAAAAACUGCAGUUAAACAUGAAUUCAGUAGAUUUGUUUCAUAAUAAAACAAAUCUACUGAUUUGUUUUAUUAUUUCACCACUUUCAUUUCUCAUGUGAGAAUUGAAAGUGGAUCAGCUGUGCUGCCACAGUGCUGAUCGUGCUACUUCUUUCCACUCUGUUCAUUUCCUCAUUUCCCAAACUUGGACUGUUUUAUUAGACAGAAAUGAUGAACACAUAAAACUUUAAACACAUAAUCAGUAAUGUUUGAACCCUUCUUUGUUUAUUUAACGCUUGUUAUUUUUCCUUUUCAGUAUAACUCACAAUAAUCAUCGUCAGUCAUUCCAGUACAAUCCUUAAUAGCUGCCCAUGGUUUUUGAUGACGAUCAGUCACGUGUGUUGAUAUUGUGACUAUGAUCACAUGUCUGCUGUGUAUUUAAAUGUGGAUGUUUCUGUGUGAGAUCAGCAGCCGUCCAGCAAACCUCAUCCAGCCGACCACGUCUGCACACACGAACCCAUAAUGUCUUUCAUCGCUGAGCUCCAAGUGUCUUUGAACAAAGCCGAGGAGUUUGCGCUCCGUGAACAAGGCUUCAAGAAAAUCUUUGUUAAUCUGAACGAAGGAGCCGGGGGAAACUUCGUCUACCUCUGGUACAAAAAAGGCGAUCAUGCAAUUACCAGGAUUCAGAUUUCCUUCCACGAUGAGAUGUCCACGGGUCUGUCCAGUGCAGGGUUCAAAAAGAUCGACAAAAACCUGAACGAGGGGGCAUGUGGAGGUUCUGUCUACCUGUGGUACUACAAAGGUUCCUUAAAGUACGAUGUUCCCAUCAGGAAACUCGAUGUCUCUGUACAAGCAGGAGAUGAACCCUACAAGUAUAAACUGGGCUGGGAGAGACUGGCCUGUGACCUGAACCGUGGUGCUGGAGGAAACUGGAUCUAUCUGUGGUUGAAGAGAGAGAACCCCACCUACAUCUGUGACAUCAGGGCCACUGCUAAAUUUGAGGAAGAUGAUGACAACUUCAAUGAUGGCUACAUCCGGGUGGAUGAAGACACCAACAGGGGAGCAGGAGGGCCCUACAUCUUCAUCUGGUACCGUCAAACCAAGGACCCCAAGGACGCCAUCAGUGAGCUGGAAAUCUCCUCCAGUGAUGUCAAGCAAAAGAGCCUCCAAGACCAAGGCUAUGAAAUCGUGAACCAGGAUCUGAACGAGGGCACCGAGGGAAAGGAGGUGUUCCUGUGGUACAAGAAAGACAGCGGCAGCGCUCCCAUCAAGGCCGUCACCGUGCUCGCCGACCCAGCAGCUAAGCAGGCGUAUGACAAUGACGGGCUCAAAGUGAACCCAGAAAACCUCAACACAGGCAACCCAGGAGCUGCUCCCGUCUACCUGUGCUAUCAUCAGUGAGAGCGGUCAUGGUAAAAGAAGUGAGCACGCUCACUGAGCAGAAACCCAGAGGUCUGAUGAUGUCUUUUUUCUUUAAUGAUGUUCAAUCACUGUGAUCUCAGAGGUUUGUCUGCACCAGCGAUCAUUGAUCCUCCAACCAAUCUGAUUGAUUAGCUCUGAAUCACUUUAUUCUGUUUAUUGUCUCUCUUUCAAUAAAGUCUGUUUAGCAUCUGAAAUCUCUC
ensembl:lncRNA